rnacentral:rRNA from 1 species
UACGGAGGGUGCGAGCGUUGUCCGGAAUCACUGGGCGUAAAGGGCGCGUAGGCGGCCUGAUAAGUAGGGGGUGAAAUCCUGCGGCUUAACCGCAGGGCUGCCUUCUAAACUGUCAGGCUUGAGCACAGUAGAGGCAGGUGGAAUUCCCGGUGUAGCGGUGGAAUGCGUAGAGAUCGGGAAGAACAUCAGUGGCGAAGGCGGCCUGCUGGGCUGUUGCUGACGCUGAGGCGCGACAGCGUGGGGAGCAAACAGG